UACGAAGGGGGCGAGCGUUGUUCGGAAUUACUGGGCGUAAAGGGCGCGUAGGCGGCGACUCAAGUUAGAUGUGAAAGUCCUGGGCUUAACCUGGGGACUGCAUUUGAUACUGGGUUGCUUGAAUUCGGGAGAGGAUAGCGGAAUUCCCAGUGUAGAGGUGAAAUUCGUAGAUAUUGGGAAGAACACCGGUGGCGAAGGCGGCUAUCUGGACCGACAUUGACGCUGAGGCGCGAAAGCGUG
rnacentral:rRNA from 1 species